AGAGUUUGAUCCUGGCUCAGGACGAACGCUGGCGGCACGCUUAACACAUGCAAGUCGAACGAGAGAAGAGGAGCUUGCUUUUCUGAUCUAGUGGCGGACGGGUGAGUAACACGUGAGCAAUCUGCCUUUCAGAGGGGGAUACCGAUUGGAAACGAUCGUUAAUACCGCAUAACAUAAUUGAACCGCAUGAUUUGAUUAUCAAAGAUUUAUCGCUGAAAGAUGAGCUCGCGUCUGAUUAGCUAGUUGGUAAGGUAACGGCUUACCAAGGCGACGAUCAGUAGCCGGACUGAGAGGUUGAUCGGCCACAUUGGGACUGAGACACGGCCCAGACUCCUACGGGAGGCAGCAGUGGGGAAUAUUGCACAAUGGAGGAAACUCUGAUGCAGCGAUGCCGCGUGAGGGAAGAAGGUUUUAGGAUUGUAAACCUCUGUCUUCAGGGACGAAAAAAGACGGUACCUGAGGAGGAAGCUCCGGCUAACUACGUGCCAGCAGCCGCGGUAAUACGUAGGGAGCGAGCGUUGUCCGGAAUUACUGGGUGUAAAGGGAGCGUAGGCGGGAUCGCAAGUCAGAUGUGAAAACUAUGGGCUUAACCCAUAAACUGCAUUUGAAACUGUGGUUCUUGAGUGAAGUAGAGGUAAGCGGAAUUCCUAGUGUAGCGGUGAAAUGCGUAGAUAUUAGGAGGAACAUCAGUGGCGAAGGCGGCUUACUGGGCUUUAACUGACGCUGAGGCUCGAAAGCGUGGGGAGCAAACAGGAUUAGAUACCCUGGUAGUCCACGCCGUAAACGAUGAUUACUAGGUGUGGGGGGACUGACCCCUUCCGUGCCGCAGCAAACGCAAUAAGUAAUCCACCUGGGGAGUACGACCGCAAGGUUGAAACUCAAAGGAAUUGACGGGGGCCCGCACAAGCAGUGGAGUAUGUGGAUUAAUUCGAAGCAACGCGAAGAACCUUACCAGGUCUUGACAUCGUAUGCAUAGCUCAGAGAUGAGUGAAAUCUCUUCGGAGACAUACAGACAGGUGGUGCAUGGUUGUCGUCAGCUCGUGUCGUGAGAUGUUGGGUUAAGUCCCGCAACGAGCGCAACCCUUACUGUUAGUUGCUACGCAAGAGCACUCUAGCAGGACUGCCGUUGACAAAACGGAGGAAGGUGGGGAUGACGUCAAAUCAUCAUGCCCCUUAUGACCUGGGCCUCACACGUACUACAAUGGCUGUCAACAGAGGGAAGCAAAGCCGCGAGGUGGAGCGAACCCCUAAAAGCAGUCUUAGUUCGGAUUGUAGGCUGCAACCCGCCUACAUGAAGUCGGAAUUGCUAGUAAUCGCAGAUCAGCAUGCUGCGGUGAAUACGUUCCCGGGCCUUGUACACACCGCCCGUCACGCCAUGGGAGUCGGUAACACCCGAAGCCUGUAGUCUAACCGCAAGGAGGACGCAGUCGAAGGUGGGAUUGAUGACUGGGGUGAAGUCGUAACAAGGUA
rnacentral:rRNA from 1 species